rnacentral:rRNA from 1 species
UGCGCAGGCGGAAGAAUAAGUCAGUGGUGAAAUACUGCCGCUCAACGGUAGGGCUGCCAUUGAUACUGUUUUUCUUGAGUAUGGUUGAGGUAGGCGGAAUGUGCGGUGUAGCGGUGAAAUGCAUAGAUAUCGCCCAGAACGCCGAUUGCGAAGGCAGCUUACUAAACCAUUACUGACGCUGAGGCACGAAAGCGUGGGUAGCGAACAGGAUUAGAUACCCUGGUAGUC